rnacentral:rRNA from 1 species
GUCUGGUGGCAAGUGACGAACGGGUGAGUAAUGUAUCGGAACGUGCCCCGUAGCGGGGGAUAACUACGCGAAAGCGUAGCUAAUACCGCAUACGCCCUACGGGGGAAAGCAGGGGAUCGCAAGACCUUGCACUAUUGGAGCGGCCGAUAUCGGAUUAGCUAGUUGGUGGGGUAACGGCUCACCGAGGCGACGAUCCGUAGCUGGUUUGAGAGGACNACCAACCACACUGGGACUGAGACACGGCCCAGACUCCUACGGGAGGCAGCAGUGGGGAAUUUUGGACAAUGGGGGAAACCCUGAUCCAGCCAUCCCGCGUGUGCGAUGAAGGCCUUCGGGUUGUAAAGCACUUUUGGCAGGAAAGAAACGUCGUGGGUUAAUACCCCGCGAAACUGACGGUACCUGCAGAAUAAGCACCGGCUAACUACGUGCCAGCAGCCGCGGUAAUACGUAGGGUGCAAGCGUUAAUCGGAAUUACUGGGCGUAAAGCGUGCGCAGGCGGUUCGGAAAGAAAGAUGUGAAAUCCCAGAGCUUAACUUUGGAACUGCAUUUUUAACUACCGGGCUAGAGUGUGUCAGAGGGAGGUGGAAUUCCGCGUGUAG